rnacentral:rRNA from 1 species
UACAGAGGUGGCAAGCGUUGUUCGGAAUUACUGGGCGUAAAGGGCGCGUAGGCGGCGCAACAAGUCACUUGUGAAAUCUCCGGGCUUAACUCGGAACGGUCAAGUGAUACUGUCGGACUAGAGUACAGAAGGGGGCAACUGGAAUUCUCGGUGUAGCGGUGAAAUGCGUAGAUAUCGAGAGGAACACCUGCGGCGAAGGCGGGUUGCUGGGCUGAUACUGACGCUGAGGCGCGGAAAGCCAGGGGAGCGAACGGG